rnacentral:rRNA from 1 species
AACGAACGCUGGCGGCAGGCUUAACACAUGCAAGUCGAACGCCCCGCAAGGGGAGUGGCAGACGGGUGAGUAACGCGUGGGAAUCUACCCAGUUCUGCGGAACAACAGUUGGAAACGACUGCUAAUACCGCAUACGCCCUACGGGGGAAAGAUUUAUCGGGGAUGGAUGAGCCCGCGUUGGAUUAGCUAGUUGGUGGGGUAAAGGCCUACCAAGGCGACGAUCCAUAGCUGGUCUGAGAGGAUGAUCAGCCACAUUGGGACUGAGACACGGCCCAAACUCCUACGGGAGGCAGCAGUGGGGAAUAUUGGACAAUGGGCGCAAGCCUGAUCCAGCCAUGCCGCGUGAGUGACGAAGGCCUUAGGGUUGUAAAGCUCUUUUGGCGGGGAAGAUAAUGACGGUACCCGCAGAAUAAGCUCCGGCUAACUUCGUGCCAGCCGCCGCGGUAA